UGGGGAAUAUUGGACAAUGGGCGAAAGCCUGAUCCAGCCAUGCCGCGUGUGUGAAGAAGGUCUUCGGAUUGUAAAGCACUUUAAGUUGGGAGGAAGGGUUGUAGAUUAAUACUCUGCAAUUUUGACGUUACCGACAGAAUAAGCACCGGCUAACUCUGUGCCAGCAGCCGCGGUAAUACAGAGGGUGCAAGCGUUAAUCGGAAUUACUGGGCGUAAAGCGCGCGUAGGUGGUUAGUUAAGUUGGAUGUGAAAUCCCCGGGCUCAACCUGGGAACUGCAUUCAAAACUGACUGACUAGAGUAUGGUANAGGGUGUGGAAUUUCCUGUGUAGCGGUGAAAUGCGUAGAUAUAGGAAGGAACACCAGUGGCGAAGGCGACCACCUGGACUGAUACUGACACUGAGGUGCGAAAGCGUGGGGAGCAAACAGGAUUAGAUACCCACGUAGUCCCUGAGCGGGCUGGCAAGGCGCAU
rnacentral:rRNA from 1 species